rnacentral:rRNA from 1 species
GGGCCCGCACAAGCAGCGGAGCGUGUUGCUUAAUUCGAUGCAACGCGAAGAACCUUACCAGGGUUUGAAAUCAUUUCAAAACUCCUUGAAAGAGGAGCCUCCUUCGGGAUGAAAUGACAGGUGGUGCAUGGCUGUCGUCAGCUCGUGUUGUGAAAUGUCGAGUUAAGUCUCGUAACGAGCGCAACCCAUGUCUCUUGUUGCUCACUGAGUGCUUAAGAGAGACUGCCGACCAACAUCGGAGGAAGGUGUGGAUGAUGUCAAGUCAGCAUGCCCCUUACAUCCUGGGCUACACACGUACUACAAUGGUAAGGACAAUGAGCUGCGAUCCUGCGAAGGCUAGCCAAUCUACAAAAACCUUAUCUCAGUUCGGAUUGCACUCUGCAACUCGAGUGCAUGAAGGUGGAAUC